CACUGCUGGACAGCUGGAGUAGCGAGACCGCAGAAUUCCCGUGACAAUUACAGAUGACAUCAGUUAUGCCUAUGUCUUAUAAACACAACAACAAACCGACAAAGGGUGUGGGACUUCCUGUCUGCUCAGUGCUGAAUUCGGCUGAAAUGUCGCCCCGUGCACUGACAUCCAGCAGAAAUAAAAACCCUACACUGCUGGAUUCCAAAAUUGUGAGGAUCAAAGAAGAAAUCUGAGGUUUUCCCCACUAUUAAAGCAACAGAAAAAAUCUCAACCUAACAGACUUCUCAGUACAAGAAGAAAAGAAGAAAAACCAACUGGCAUAACUUAAAAGGGCAUGGUAAACACCGUGGCUUGGCAGCUGUCAGACUGAUGCGCAAGAGUCCUCCAAAGACUGGUUUGACAGUCGGUUCCUCUCAUGUGUUUUUAUCGAGUUCAUCUUGGAGAAUGCAGCCUCGCAGGUGUGGGUUGAGCCAAACAUGGUGAGCACAUACAUAGCCAGAGUCUUUAUUAGCCAUAGUCUUAGGGACAAGACACCCAGAAUGUGCUCAAGCUUUCAGCACCAUGGAGAGCAGCCUUCAUGUCACCUGCGGCCUGGAUUUCAGCCAGCUCAAUCUGAAUAGCCGCCUCAUCCAACAGCAUCACCUUCAUUGCAUGUGCAGGGAAUUCUCCACUUGGGCUGAUCGUGAAUGUGUCAUGCGCAAAUCUAAUAACAUCCCUGGAAAUUAUGAAGCCAUCGAAUCUGGCAGAGAAGUUGUCCUUUAAUUCUGUAAUGAAUUUCUUCAUCUUGCCUGUAACGUUGCUUUCUCUCACUGUCUUCAGUUUAUUGAAGUGCAGCAGCCUCCCUGACAAGAAAUCUGCAUACAACAGAUCAAGAUUGUUCCAAAAGGCAUCAAGUUUUUCCACCAUAUCCACCACAGAUUUUUCUUUUCCUUGUAGCUAGAGAUUGAGUGUGUUAAAAAAAAAAUGUCUGUUAAAUAGGCAACGUUGCACAUGUAUCCUCUGUCUUGCAUGAUGUGGAGAUGGUCAGCUGCGGUUUUGAUUUACUUUGUUUCAGAAAUCCACAACUUGGACUUUGAGUUCAACAAAGCACACAUCAUUGUGGAGUAACAGGUCAUCAUGAGAAGCUUGAGAUUUCAGCACAAAUUUGCGGAGCAGGUGGUGCUGCGUGCUUGAAUUCCCUCUGAUGUAGUUAAUCAUUUUCAUUGUUUUCUCCAUCACCUCUUUGAGCUCCCCACUUAGUUGUGUGCACAGCACUUUGCUUUGAUGGAUACUAUGGUAAAGUGUGUUUUAGGAGCGACAGUCUCUAUUCUGCUCACCAGAGCCCUGUUUUUGCCAUGGCCAGUGCACCAUCUGUCAUGAUCAGGUUGACUUUAUCCAAGGACAAUCCAUGCUUUUUAAAAAGGCCUCCAGUUUUCCAGAGAUAAUGACUGCAGUGAUAAUGACUUCCAGUGGAAGCAAUGCCAGCAGCUCCGCUCAGAAAUCUUUGCCAAUCAAAAAUGCACAACUGUGAAAUAUCAGUGUUGUCAGUGGAGUCAUCAAUAGCCAGCAGUGCCUAUUUGGCUGCCUUGAUCCCAUCAGUAACAAGUCACUGCUGGACAACCCCUGCCAUGACGUGGACAUGAUGUGUGGCAGUUGAAGCAGACAGAGGUAUCUGUUAACAGUUGCAAUAAUUAUGUCCAUGGAUUUGCCGGGGGCAAGUUUCUCCAGAAUGGUGACCAUGCACUCCUUAAAAACCUCAGCUUCAGUAAAUGGCCUGUUAUGUUUGGAAAGCACCCAGGCAGCCUGUAGAGAUGCACACGUUACCCUCUCUUGGUCAGUUAAAGCUCGAGUAAUAAUUCCACUGGC